GGUUAAGCGACUAAGCGUACACGGUGGAUGCCCUAGCAGUCAGAGGCGAUGAAGGGCGUACUAAUCUGCGAUAAGCGCCGGUAAGGUGAUAUGAACCGUUAUAACCGGCGAUACCCGAAUGGGGAAACCCAGUGUGAUUCGUCACACUAUCAUUAACUGAAUCCAUAGGUUAAUGAGGCGAACCGGGGGAACUGAAACAUCUAAGUACCCCGAGGAAAAGAAAUCAACCGAGAUUCCCCCAGUAGCGGCGAGCGAACGGGGAGGAGCCCAGAGCCUGAAUCAGCAUGUGUGUUAGUGGAAGCGUCUGGAAAGGCGCGCGAUACAGGGUGACAGCCCCGUACACAAAAGCGCAUGUGCUGUGAGCUCGAUGAGUAGGGCGGGACACGUGGUAUCCUGUCUGAAUAUGGGGGGACCAUCCUCCAAGGCUAAAUACUCCUGACUGACCGAUAGUGAACCAGUACCGUGAGGGAAAGGCGAAAAGAACCCCGGCGAGGGGAGUGAAAAAGAACCUGAAACCGUGUACGUACAAGCAGUGGGAGCACCCUUUGGGUGUGACUGCGUACCUUUUGUAUAAUGGGUCAGCGACUUAUAUUCUGUAGCAAGGUUAACCGAAUAGGGGAGCCGGAGGGAAACCGAGUCUUAACCGGGCGUUAAGUUGCAGGGUAUAGACCCGAAACC
rnacentral:rRNA from 1 species